rnacentral:rRNA from 1 species
CAAUAGCGUAUAUUAAAGUUGUUGCAGUUAAAAAGCUCGUAGUUGGAUUUGUGGCGUACGGUGGGUUCCGGGCACUUGUUGUCUGAGUAACUUGCUGUUGCCAUCCUUGGGUGGAACCUGUGUGGCAUUAGGUUGUCGUGCAGGGGAUGCCCAUCAUUUACUGUGAAAAAAUUAGAGUGUUCAAAGCAGGCUUAUGCCGUUGAAUAUAUUAGCAUGGAAUAAUGAGAUAGGACUUUUUUGCUAUUUUGUUGGUUUGCGCAAAGAGGUAAUGAUUAAUAGGGACAGUUAGGGGUAUUCGUAUUCCAUUGUCAGAGGUGAAAUUCUUGGAUUUUUGGAAGACGAACUACUGCGAAAGCAUUUACCAAGGAUGUUUCCAUUAA